rnacentral:rRNA from 1 species
UGUAACUGGGGUCGAAGUGCCGGGGAAAUACGGAGGGGCCGAGCGGUAAGCGGGAGUAAUGGGCGUAAAGCGGGGGCAGGCGGUUUGUUAAGCGAGAUGUGAAAGACCUGGGCUCAACCUAGGAAUAGCAUUUCGAACUGGCGAACUAGAGUCUUGUAGAGGGGGGUAGAAUUCCAGGUGUAGCGGUGAAAUGCGUAGAGAUCUGGAGGAAUACCGGUGGCGAAGGCGGCCCCCUGGACAAAGACUGACGCUCAUGCACGAAAGCGUGGGGAGCAAACAGGAUUAGAUACCCUAGUAGUC